CUCCUUGCAAAGCUACAGUUGAUGAGGCAUCCAUUGACACAGAUAGUUCAACCCACAAUGAGAUUCCUUGCGAAAAAACUGUUGUUCUAUCUUCAAUGGGUGACAUGGAGAUUCUUAUGAACAAUAUGAAUUUUGCUGGACCAAGUUUUUCAUUGGGGUUGAGUCAAUCGUCUGGUGAAAAAAACAUUGUUGAUCCUACACUCGAAAAUGAAAAGACAUACAAUGAAUGUCAAGAGGAUGUUGUAGCUGCUACUCUUGGUCCAUUUAGUGCUACUGAAGAGCAACUUAGACUUCAAUUUAAGAAUCAAAACUUUGAUGAAGAAGACUACAUUGGUGUUGAAUCGCCAAUCGACACAAGGCAGCAAAGGCAAUUUAUUGCUUCAAGGGUGUUUAGAUCACCAUAUUCUUGCUGUUAAAAGUGUCCAAAAAGCUUGUCAUCUCACUAAUAUUGAGGAGUCAGUAGUGACUUGGAUAUGGGGUUUAUCUGAUCGUGAAGCUUAUGGUGAAACAAUUGUGUCUGAUGGAAAUAGCUACAUGCAUAUCGAAGAAAUACAAAGCUUAGCACCAGGGCGAUAUAUUAUAGACACUGCAAUUGAUUGUUAUGCUCAUUUUCUU